GGGAAACUUACCAAGGCCAAACAGAGGUGGGAUUGACAGAUUGAGAGCUCUUUCUUGAUUCUUUGGGUGGUGGUGCAUGGCCGUUCUUAGUUGGUGGAGUGAUUUGUGGCUUAAUUUGACUCAACGCGGGAAAUCUCACCAGGCCCGGCUACUGGAAGGAUUGACAGAUUGAUAUUGAUAUUGAGCAAUAA
rnacentral:rRNA from 1 species